GAUGAACGCUGGCGGCGUGCCUAAUACAUGCGAGUCGAGCGAACAGACGAGGAGCUUGCUCCUCUGACGUUAGCGGCGGACGGGUGAGUAACACGUGGAUAACCUACCUAUAAGACUGGGAUAACUUCGGGAAACCGGAGCUAAUACCGGAUAAUAUAUUGAACCGCAUGGUUCAAUAGUGAAAGACGGUUUUGCUGUCACUUAUAGAUGGAUCCGCGCCGCAUUAGCUAGUUGGUAAGGUAACGGCUUACCAAGGCAACGAUGCGUAGCCGACCUGAGAGGGUGAUCGGCCACACUGGAACUGAGACACGGUCCAGACUCCUACGGGAGGCAGCAGUAGGGAAUUUUCCGCAAUGGGCGAAAGCCUGACGGAGCAACGGCGCGUGAGUGAUGAAGGUCUUCGGAUCGUAAAACUCUGUUAUUAGGGAAGAACAAAUGUGUAAGUAACUAUGCACGUCUUGACGGUACCUAAUCAGAAAGCCACGGCUAACUACGUG
rnacentral:rRNA from 1 species